CCUACGGGAGGCAGCAGUAGGGAAUCUUUCACAAUGGGCGAAAGCCUGAUGGAGCAACGCCGCGUGCAGGAUGAAGGCCUUCGGGUUGUAAACUGCUUUUAUAAGCGAGAAAUAUGAUGGUAACUUAUGAAUAAGGAUCGGCUAACUACGUGCCAGCAGCCGCGGUCAUACGUAGGAUCCGAGCAUUAUCCGGAGUGACUGGGUGUAAAGAGUUGCGUAGGUGGCAUAAUAAGUAGCUAGUGAAAUCUGGUGGCUCAACCAUUCAGACUAUUAGCUAAACUGUUAAGCUCGAGACCGUUAGGGGUAACUGGAAUUUCUAGUGUAGGAGUGAAAUCCGUAGAUAUUAGAAGGAACACCAAUAGCGUAGGCAGGUUGCUGGGACGGUUCUGACACUAAGGCACGAAAGCGUAGGGAGCAAACGGGAUUAGAUACCCCUGUAGGC
rnacentral:rRNA from 1 species